UAGCCGCGAUUUCUGUGCUAAGGUAGCAUAAUCAUUUGUUUUAUAAUUAAAAACUAGAAUGAAUGGAAUAACGUUUAAAUUUCUUUAUUUUUUCUAUAUAAUAAAAUUAUAUUAAAUAUAAAAAUAUAUUUAUAUAUCAAAUAGACGACAAGACCCUAUUGAACUUCACUUUAGUUAAGCUGGGGCAGCUAAAUAAUUAAAAUCUUAAUAUCUUAUAUUAUAAAAAUUAUCCUUUAUAAAUGAUUAUUUAAACAAGUUACCUUAGGGAUAACAGCGUAAUAUUAUUAUAAAGUUCUUAUUUAAUAUAAUGAUUGCGACCUCGAUGUUGAAUUAUUAUUUCUUUAUAACGCAAUAGUUAUACAUUAGUGGGUCUGUUCGACCCUUAAUAUUUUACA
rnacentral:rRNA from 1 species